GUGCUUGCUUCAGCAGCACAUACACUAAAAGUGGAAUGAUAGAGAUUUGCAUGGCCCCUGUGCAAGUAUAACACACAAAUGUGUAAAGUGUUCCAUAUUUUU